rnacentral:rRNA from 1 species
GAAACGAGUUAUCUGAACCUUCAGGGAAGGAUAACGGCGGCGAGCGGCGGACGGGUGAGUAAUGCCUAGGAAAUUGCCCUGGUGUGGGGGAUAACCAUUGGAAACGAUGGCUAAUACCGCAUAAUACCUUCGGGUCAAAGAGGGGGACCUUCGGGCCUCUCGCGUCAGGAUAUGCCUAGGUGGGAUUAGCUAGUUGGAGAGGUAAUGGCUCACCAAGGCGACGAUCCCUAGCUGGUCUGAGAGGAUGAUCAGCCACACUGGAACUGAGACACGGUCCAGACUCCUACGGGAGGCAGCAGUGGGGAAUAUUGCACAAUGGGCGCAAGCCUGAUGCACCCAUGCCGCGUGUGUGAAGAAGGCCUUCGGGUUGUAAAGCACUUUCAGUCGUGAGGAAGGUGGUAGUGUUAAUAGCACUAUCAUUUGACGUUAGCGACAGAAGAAGCACCGGCUAACUCCGUGCCAGCAGCCGCGGUAAUACGGAGGGUGCGAGCGUUAAUCGGAAUUACUGGGCGUAAAGCGCAUGCAGGUGGUUUGUUAAGUCAGAUGUGAAAGCCCGGGGCUCAACCUCGGAAUAGCAUUUGAAACUGGCAGACUAGAGUACUGUAGAGGGGGGUAGAAUUUCAGGUGUAGCGGAGAAAUG